rnacentral:rRNA from 1 species
GACGAACGCUGGCGGCGUGCUUAACACAUGCAAGUCGAACGGAAAGGCCCUGCUUUUGUGGGGUGCUCGAGUGGCGAACGGGUGAGUAACACGUGAGUAACCUGCCCUUGACUUUGGGAUAACUUCAGGAAACUGGGGCUAAUACCGGAUAGGAGCUCCUGCUGCGUGGUGGGGGUUGGAAAGUUUCGGCGGUUGGGGAUGGACUCGCGGCUUAUCAGCUUGUUGGUGGGGUAGUGGCUUACCAAGGCUUUGACGGGUAGCCGGCCUGAGAGGGUGACCGGCCACAUUGGGACUGAGAUACGGCCCAGACUCCUACGGGAGGCAGCAGUGGGGAAUAUUGCACAAUGGGCGGAAGCCUGAUGCAGCAACGCCGCGUGCGGGAUGACGGCCUUCGGGUUGUAAACCGCUUUCGCCUGUGACGAAGCGUGAGUGACGGUAAUGGGUAAAGAAGCACCGGCUAACUACGUGCCAGCAGCCGCGGUGAUACGUAGGGUGCGAGCGUUGUCCGGAUUUAUUGGGCGUAAAGGGCUCGUAGGUGGUUGAUCGCGUCGGAAGUGUAAUCUUGGGGCUUAACCCUGAGCGUGCUUUCGAUACGGGUUGACUUGAGGAAGGUAGGGGAGAAUGGAAUUCCUGGUGGAGCGGUGGAAUGCGCAGAUAUCAGGAGGAACACCAGUGGCGAAGGCGGUUCUCUGGGCCUUUCCUGGCGCUGAGGAGCGAAAGCGUGGGGAGCGAACAGGCUUAGAUACCCUGGUAGUCCACGCUGUAAACGGUGGGUACUAGGUGUGGGGUCCAUUCCACGGGUUCCGUGCCGUAGCUAACGCUUUAAGUACCCCGCCUGGGGAGUACGGCCGCAAGGCUAAAACUCAAAGGAAUUGACGGGGCCCCGCACAAGCGGCGGAGCAUGCGGAUUAAUUCGAUGCAACGCGUAGAACCUUACCUGGGUUUGACAUGGAUCGGGAGUGCUCAGAGAUGGGUGUGCCUCUUUUGGGGUCGGUUCACAGGUGGUGCAUGGCUGUCGUCAGCUUGUGUCGUGAGAUGUUGGGUUAAGUCCCGCAACGAGCGCAACCCUUGUUCACUGUUGCCAGCACGUUAUGGUGGGGACUCAGUGGAGACCGCCGGGGUCAACUCGGAGGAAGGUGGGGAUGACGUCAAGUCAUCAUGCCCCUUAUGUCCAGGGCUUCACGCAUGCUACAAUGGCUGGUACAGAGAGUGGCGAGCCUGUGAGGGUGAGCGAAUCUCGGAAAGCCGGUCUCAGUUCGGAUUGGGGUCUGCAACUCGACCUCAUGAAGUCGGAGUCGCUAGUAAUCGCAGAUCAGCAACGCUGCGGUGAAUACGUUCCCGGG